rnacentral:rRNA from 1 species
UCCGUAGGUGAACCUGCGGAAGGAUCAUUACCGAGUUGAUUCGGGCUCCGGCCCGAUCCUCCCACCCUUUGUGUACCUACCUCUGUUGCUUUGGCGGGCCGCGGUUCUCCGCGGCCGCCCCCCUCCCCGGGGGGUGGCCAGCGCCCGCCAGAGGACCAUCAAACUCCAGUCAGUAAACGAUGCAGUCUGAAAAACAUUUAAUAAACUAAAACUUUCAACAACGGAUCUCUUGGUUCUGGCAUCGAUGAAGAACGCAGCGAAAUGCGAUAAGUAAUGUGAAUUGCGGAAUUCAGUGAAUCAUCGAAUCUUUGAACGCACAUUGCGCCCUUUGGUAUUCCGAAGGGCAUGCCUGUUCGAGCGUCAUUACAACCCUCAAGCUCUGCUUGGUAUUGGGCACCGUCCUUUGCGGGCGCGCCUCAAAGACUUCGGCGGUGGCGUCUUGCCUCAAGCGUAGUAGAACAUACAUCUCGCUUCGGAGCGCAGGGCGUCGCCCGCCGGACGAACCUUCUGAACUUUUCUCAAGGUUGACCUCGGAUCAGGUAGGGAUACCCGCUGAACUUAAGCAUAUCAAUAAGCGGAGGA